GUGAUCAUCACCCUUGAAGCUCAUCCAGCAUAAUAAUGUCUGGGUGUGUCCUGUCAGCUGACUUCCUGUUAAACGGCACGACACUUCCAGAUGCGUCUGUUUGGUUUCUUUACUGAGGUGACAUGUUGCCUAAGGGCCAGGGCCACACCUGACACCUCCCACGCCCUAUUCAGAGCUGAACGCAUUGCUGGUACUCAGUGACCGUAAUCAUUGUCUCUAAGGCAGUGUGAUGACCAUUCUUGGUUGUCAACUUGGUGACAUCUGGAAUUGAAGCAGCAGGAGACACAGAUACAGCAGCCAAGCGCAAGCCAAAGCGGGGAGGAGGGAACCGGGACCAGGGCCAGCAGAAGGAGAGAAGAAGAGCGUGUCCACGUGUCCGUGUCCGAGGUCCUCUUAAGAAGCCUUUUCUACGCCACCUUAGACUUCCCCUCACCCCGCCCUCACGGGCAUGUUCCGGCACACCUGUCCGGGUUACCAGGGGCGGGGCUAGAGUGUCUCCCUACAUGUAUGAGUUGUGAUGCGUGGAUGAGCACACCUACCACACCACCAGCAGUCACGUCAAAGUCCCAUAGAAGGGGACGAGCUUGGAGCUGAGCUGACACAGACACAGGAGUCAAAGCUGGAGGGUUGAUUGGAAAAGGAAACCCCAGAAAAAUCCUGACCCAUCAAAAGCCUUUAAAACUGCCAGCAUGACCACCAUCCACAUUCUGUCUGUGAAGCAUGGAGAAGAGGG
rnacentral:lncRNA from 1 species